rnacentral:lncRNA from 1 species
CCGGGAUAGGCCCAUACCAAGGAUUCGGUCCAGAGGAGCGGCUCCUUCGCGAGGUCAUGCAUCGUUCGCUGACCUUGGCGGGCACGGACGUUAGGCGCCUCCGAGGCAAAAAUAUGAAGGUGCUCCAGCUUUGGAGCGAAGGUGUAUCAGUUUGAAGCUUCAGAGCGCCUCGCAAGGGAGAAGGAGUCCGCCAAGACCAAGGCGAUGCACCAUGCGAAGGAGGAGCGCGUCCUUCGCCGCCUCUUCUAGUACAUCUAAUCGAUGCCGGAGAUCGGCGCUACUACGCACAACGGCGAUCAUACUCCUGCCGGAGAUGCCUACAUGAAGGAGAGGGACCAUUGCGCUGGUGACCGCAUGGGCAAGGGUCUGGCUAAAAAGUGGUGAUCCGCCUUUCCGCAGUGUAUUCGUUUAUUGGUAUCUAGUUUAUUUAAUUCGAUGAACUUUGUCUAUUUUGGGUCCGACUAAGUCCGCGUGAUUAACUAUCUAUGCCCAAAUCUAUUUAUAUUUCUCUAACCGAUGAACUCAUUUGUGAUCUUGACCUACGUGCUUUUACGUUGUUGCAUGCACUGUAUGUAUUUGGG